rnacentral:rRNA from 1 species
UACGGAGGGGGCUAGCGUUGUUCGGAAUCAUUGGGCGUAAAGGGCGCGUAGGCGGCCGAUCAAGUCGGAGGUGAAAUCCCUCAGCUCAACUGAGGAAUUGCCUUCGAUACUGUUCGGCUUGAGUCCUGGAGAGGGUAGCGGAAUUCCCGGUGUAGCGGUGAAAUGCGUAGAGACCGGGAAGAACACCAGUGGCGAAGGCGGGUCUCUGGACAGUUCCUGACGCUGAGGCACGAAGGUCAGGGGAGCAAACGGG